rnacentral:lncRNA from 1 species
CAUAUUUAAUGCAAGGUUACAUUGAUAUACAGGGAAUUAUUCUGCUACAUAGUUUUUUACUGGUUGUAAUAUGUUUGUGUUUAAAUAAAUAGAGUUUAUCAUUUGAGUGAUUUUCUGAAAGCAACAAAACUUGAGGAUCAAAAGAUACAAGAAAGACAAAUCAAAGUCAUAAAUCGGAAAUAAACUUGACAACGACAUGGCUUAAAAAGAAAACAAAUGAACCAACAAAGACAAACAGACAAGCAAAAGAACAAAACACCAUAGAAAAAAAGGAUCAGCUACACGCACCGAACCAAAAAAUUGUGGUGAUCUCAGGUGCUCCGGGAGGGUAAGGAGAUCCUGCUCCGCAUGUGGAAUAGUAUCAUCAAGUAUCACAUUAAUUGAUCAAAUCGUUACCAAUUAGAUCGAGGGCAUCACGACGAUUACACAUUAUAGCAUUAACUGUACCACACA